GGUUCGAUCUAGCUCAGAUUGAACGCUGGCGGGAUGCUUUACACAUGCAAGUCGAACACGGCAGCACGGACUUCGGUCUGGUGGCGAGAGUGGCGAACGGGUAGGUAAUGUAUCGGAACGUGCCUAGUAGCGGGGGAUAACUACGCGAAAGCGUAGCUAAUACCGCAUACGCCCUUCGGGGAAAGCGGGGGGACCUUCGGGCCUCGCACUAAAUGGAAGCGGCCGAUAUCGGAUUGGCUAGUUGGUGGGGUAACAGCUCACCGAGCGACGAUCCGUAGCGCUGGUUUGAGAGGACGACCAGCCACACUGGGACUGAGACACGGCCCAGACUCCUACGGGAGGCAGCAGUGGGGAAUUUUGGACAAUGGGGAAACCCUGAUCCAGCCAUCCCGCGUGUGCGAUGAAGGCCUUCCGGGUUCAUCAGCUUUUGGCAGGAAAGAAACAGCACGGGAUAAUACCCCGUGCAACUGACAGUACCUGCAGAAUGUACAGCUGCUGUGCAGCAGCCGCGGUAUGCAAUGGAACACAGCGUUAAUCAGGAAUUACUGGGCGUAAGCUGCCAUUGGUUCGGAAAGAAAGAUGUAAAUCCCAGAGCUUAACGGGGACUGCGUUUUUAUGCCGAGCUAGAGUGUGUCAGAGGUGGAAUUCCGCGUGUAGCAGUGAAAUGCGUAGAUAUGCGGAAAAUUUGCUGAUAUGAGCAGCCUCCUGGGAUAACACUGACGCUCAUGUACGAAAGCGUGGGGAGCAAACAGGAUUAGAUGCACGAAGUGAUGCCUAAGCGAUGUCUUCGCUGUUUAGACCCACUUUAAGACCUUGGUAGCGCAACUAACGCGUGAAAGUUGACCGCACCUGGAAAUACGAAUGCUAGUUAAAACUCAAAGGAAUUGACGGGGACCCGCACAAGCGGUGGAUGAUGGAUUGAACGAUUGCAACGCGAAAAACCUUACCUACCCUUGACAUGUCUGGAAUCCCGAAGAGAUUUGGGAGUGCUCGCAAGAGAACCGGAACACAGGUGCUGCAUGGCUGUCGUCAGCUCGUGUCGUGAGAUGUUGGGUUAAGUCCCGCAACAGGCGCAACCCUUGUCAUUAGUUGCUACGAAGGGCACUCUAAUGAGACUGCCGGUGACAAACCGGAGGAAGGUGGGGAUGACGUCAAGUCCUCAUGGCCCAUAUGGGUAGGGCUUCACACGUCAUACAAUGGUCGGGACCAGAGGGUCGCCAACCCGCGAGGAGCCAAUCCCAGAAACCCGAUCGUAGUCGGAUCAUGAAUAAUCGACUGCGUGAAGUCGGAAUCGCUAUUAAUCGCGCAGAUCAGCAUGUCGCGGUGAAUACGUUUUCCCGGGUCUUGUACACACCGCCCGUCACACACCAUGGGAGUGGGUUUUACCAGAAGUAGUUAGCCUAACCGUAAGGAGGGCGAUUACCACGGUAGGAUUCAUGACUGGGGUGAAGUCGUAACAAGGCG
rnacentral:rRNA from 1 species